rnacentral:sRNA from 1 species
CUGGAUAUUUUUUAUACAAAACCGCUAAAGGUUGAGCAAAAUAGACUCGCCGAAAGAUUUUUUUGCUUCUUGCGUUACGUCAGUUUACUUACUACAAGUAAUGGGUAGUAUGUACGCCGGCUAUUAGCUCACUCUGAGACA